UAAAUCGACCGCCUGGGGAGUACGGCCGCAAGGUUAAAACUCAAAUGAAUUGACGGGGGCCCGCACAAGCGGUGGAGCAUGUGGUUUAAUUCGAUGCAACGCGAAGAACCUUACCUGGUCUUGACAUCCACAGAACUUAGCAGAGAUGCUUUGGUGCCUUCGGGAACUGUGAGACAGGUGCUGCAUGGCUGUCGUCAGCUCGUGUUGUGAAAUGUUGGGUUAAGUCCCGCAACGAGCGCAACCCUUAUCCUUUGUUGCCAGCGGUUCGGCCGGGAACUCAAAGGAGACUGCCAGUGAUAAACUGGAGGAAGGUGGGGAUGACGUCAAGUCAUCAUGGCCCUUACGACCAGGGCUACACACGUGCUACAAUGGCAUAUACAAAGAGAAGCGACCUCGCGAGAGCAAGCGGACCUCAUAAAGUAUGUCGUAGUCCGGAUUGGAGUCUGCAACUCGACUCCAUGAAGUCGGAAUCGCUAGUAAUCGUAGAUCAGAAUGCUACGGUGAAUACGUUCCCGGGCCUUGUACACACCGCCCGUCACACCAUGGGAGUGGGUUGCAAAAGAAGUAGGUAGCUUAACCUUCGGGAGGGCGCUUACCACUUUGUGAUUCAUGACUGGGGUGAAGUCGUAACAAGGUAACCGUAGGGGAACCUGCGGUUGGAUCACCUCCUUA
rnacentral:rRNA from 1 species